rnacentral:lncRNA from 1 species
UUUAGAUAAACGAUUUGUUUAUUUUCAUGGGGUUAAACAGAUUUGUCCUUUGUAAUAUUUCCAAGGAAAAUUCACAGACUCUCCCAAUGUGGCGUACCUAACGGCCAAGUUCAUGACUUUUGUAGUUUGUGAUUGACCAAUGUUGUUGUAUGGCUUCCUGCGUCUGUAUGUCCGCUUCAGCAUCAAAUAAUAAAUGUGGUAGAAACUAGGAAAGUUUUAUCUUAUACAUCGAACGAGAGAGCUUGACCAUUUCACCGUAUAGAGGAUAGAAGUCAAGUCACCACGCUGGCUCCUCUCCUUUUUCUUCCUCCACCGCACAAGAAGAUAUGGCAACAUGACAGGUUGGGCAAAAAUGGCUGAUAUUUAUAUACUGGUAUGUAUAAAGGCACGAGUAUAAAAGUCCCAUUGGAUAAUACUGUCCUGUCCUGUCCUAUAUACAGUAAAGAAAGGCUUUUUUUUUUUGUAGAUUUCAAACUAUUAAUUUGUUCUGGCACAAGCUAGAUUGAUAUUCAUAGGUAGCAUGUUAGGAAACAAAUAUAGGACAAGAGGGAAACCAUUUUUGGGCAAGGAAGUCAAUCCGUCUUUCAAAUGCUGGUACUCCAAGUGAAGUCAAUAGCGCGAUUCAUAGCCUGUUCUAAGCAUGAUACAUUAAUCCCCCAGUUUCAUACCAUGGAGGUAUCUUUCAUAUCCAUUCCCUUUUGUCACCACCCAGAAUAUUAUAUUUGUACUCAUGUGCAUUUUUAAACUGUUCUAGUCAACUUGUCUGACACGGCUUAAUAUGAUUCCAGAUGACUUGAUCUUCCUUUAUUUU